rnacentral:rRNA from 1 species
UACGGAGGAGGCAAGCGUUAUCCGGAAUUAUUGGGCGUAAAGCGUCCGUAGGUGGUUUAGUAAGUCUGCUGUUAAAGCGCGGGGCUUAACUCCGUAUCGGCAGUGGAAACUACUAGACCAGAGUGUGGUAGGGGUAGAGGGAAUUCCCAGUGUAGCGGUGAAAUGCGUAGAUAUUGGGAAGAACACCGGUGGCGAAGGCGCUCUACUGGGCCAUAACUGACACUGAUGGACGAAAGCUAGGGGAGCGAAAGGG